rnacentral:rRNA from 1 species
CAGCCGCCGCGGGAAAACGGAGGGGGCUAGCGUUGUUCGGAAUUACUGGGCGUAAAGCGCACGUAGGCGGCUUGGUAAGUUAGAGGUGAAAGCCUGGAGCUCAACUCCAGAAUUGCCUUUAAGACUGCCGAGCUAGCAGGUGAGAGAGGUAAGUGGAAUUCCGAGUGUAGAGGUGAAAUUCGUAGAUAUUCGGAAGAACACCAGUGGCGAAGGCGGCUUACUGGCUCAUACUGGACGCUGAGGUGCGAAAGCGUGGGGAGCAAACAGGAUUAGAGACCCCUGUAGUCCCUGUCUCUUAUAC